GGGUUGUGAGGUUAAGCGACUAAGCGUACACGGUGGAUGCCCUGGCAGUCAGAGGCGAUGAAGGACGUGCUAAUCUGCGAUAAGCGUCGGUGAGGUGAUAUGAACCGUUAUAACCGGCGAUUUCCGAAUGGGGAAACCCAGUGUGUUUCGACACACUAUCAUUAACUGAAUCCAUAGGUUAAUGAGGCGAACCGGGGGAACUGAAACAUCUAAGUACCCCGAGGAAAAGAAAUCAACCGAGAUUCCCCCAGUAGCGGCGAGCGAACGGGGAGGAGCCCAGAGCCUGAAUCAGUGUGUGUGUUAGUGGAAGCGUCUGGAAAGGCGCGCGAUACAGGGUGACAGCCCCGUACACAAAAAUGCACAUAUUGUGAGCUCGAUGAGUAGGGCGGGACACGUGGUAUCCUGUCUGAAUAUGGGGGGACCAUCCUCCAAGGCUAAAUACUCCUGACUGACCGAUAGUGAACCAGUACCGUGAGGGAAAGGCGAAAAGAACCCCGGCGAGGGGAGUGAAAAAGAACCUGAAACCGUGUACGUACAAGCAGUGGGAGCCUCUUAAUGGGGUGACUGCGUACCUUUUGUAUAAUGGGUCAGCGACUUAUAUUCUGUAGCAAGGUUAACCGAAUAGGGGAGCCGAAGGGAAACCGAGUCUUAACUGGGCGUUAAGUUGCAGGGUAUAGACCCGAAACCCGGUGAUCUAGCCAUGGGCAGGUUGAAGGUUGGGUAACACUAACUGGAGGACCGAACCGACUAAUGUUGAAAAAUUAGCGGAUGACUUGUGGCUGGGGGUGAAAGGCCAAUCAAACCGGGAGAUAGCUGGUUCUCCCCGAAAGCUAUUUAGGUAGCGCCUCGUGAAUUCAUCUCCGGGGGUAGAGCACUGUUUCGGCAAGGGGGUCAUCCCGACUUACCAACCCGAUGCAAACUGCGAAUACCGGAGAAUGUUAUCACGGGAGACACACGGCGGGUGCUAACGUCCGUCGUGAAGAGGGAAACAACCCAGACCGCCAGCUAAGGUCCCAAAGUCAUGGUUAAGUGGGAAACGAUGUGGGAAGGCCCAGACAGCCAGGAUGUUGGCUUAGAAGCAGCCAUCAUUUAAAGAAAGCGUAAUAGCUCACUGGUCGAGUCGGCCUGCGCGGAAGAUGUAACGGGGCUAAACCAUGCACCGAAGCUGCGGCAGCGACACUAUGUGUUGUUGGGUAGGGGAGCGUUCUGUAAGCCUGUGAAGGUGGCCUGUGAGGGUUGCUGGAGGUAUCAGAAGUGCGAAUGCUGACAUAAGUAACGAUAAAGCGGGUGAAAAGCCCGCUCGCCGGAAGACCAAGGGUUCCUGUCCAACGUUAAUCGGGGCAGGGUGAGUCGACCCCUAAGGCGAGGCCGAAAGGCGUAGUCGAUGGGAAACAGGUUAAUAUUCCUGUACUUGGUGUUACUGCGAAGGGGGGACGGAGAAGGCUAUGUUGGCCGGGCGACGGUUGUCCCGGUUUAAGCGUGUAGGCUGGUUUUCCAGGCAA
rnacentral:rRNA from 1 species